rnacentral:rRNA from 1 species
UACGGAGGGUGCAAGCGUUAUCCGGAUUCACUGGGUUUAAAGGGUGCGUAGGUGGGCAGGUAAGUCAGUGGUGAAAUCUCCGGGCUUAACCCGGAAACUGCCAUUGAUACUAUCUGUCUUGAAUACCGUGGAGGUGAGCGGAAUAUGUCAUGUAGCGGUGAAAUGCUUAGAUAUGACAUAGAACACCAAUUGCGAAGGCAGCUCGCUGCACAAAUAUUGACUCUGAGGCACGAAAGCGUGGGGAUCAAACAGG